CCCAUCUCGAGAAGCCAAAACUACUCCUCCAGAGCAGGAAGGGCCAUGAGCAUUGUGAUGUGAUGGAGCUGGUGGAAGGUAGAUCUGGUCAACUAUGACCUCAGGUGCAUGAACUUGAGACUUCUCUGCAUACUCUUCCUUUGCUGCAUCCAAGACAUCUUCAACCAAGGGAACAUCAUCUUCCCGACAACGUAGUAGGACAGAAGGCUCUUUAAGUCUGAGCAAACUCUGAACAAUAAGAGCUUGCAGAAGCUUCUUAUAGAUAUGGUGGUUGUGGUGAUGGCUGACAUUUAAAAGUUCCUUUGAUGCUGCCUCCUUCAUGGAGCAGACCAAGUCAUCCUGAGCUUGAAGAACCUUGAUUCGAGAGGCAUUGAGUUGCAUGGAGUACUCAAUUUUCUUGCGAACAUCAACUUGUUUCUCCUUACGCUCGUAUUCCUGUCUGAUCUUCUUUUUCUCUGCUUCCACUAGCUGCAACUUCUCAAUGUUGAAUUCUUCUUCGGCGGAGACGGAGAUCUCAUUGGCUUUUUCUUCAGCUUCCUGACGGAUGAAUCUGACCAUCUGCUGGAUCUGCUUGGAGACAUCUGCAUCGUUCAUUUUGUCUGAUUGAUCAGAUAGAGGAGAGGGAGAAUGAUCGAAAUAGUGGAUUUAGAGAGGGAAGGGAUUUAGAGAGGGAAGGGAUUUUGCGAAUGAUGUAGUAGACUCCGCGAUUUGUAAUAUAAUUACAGAUUGAUCGAUGACGCCUUGAGGAUCCGGUUUUCGAGCCGAUUCUGAUUUGACAUCAGCGGUUUCGGAUUAGAACUCCUUAAUGAAUCAGACCGCAUGAACCAGAUUGGAUUAGAAGUUUG
rnacentral:misc_RNA from 1 species